CCGACCCCCGAGCCCCGCACCCCGCGCCGUGGCCGCUUCUUCUUCCCUUCCCCAACCGACGUGCCAUCGCCGCCAACGCUCGCGACUCCUCCUCUCCUCCCCGAGCAUACAAAACCCCUCUCCUCAGCCCGAGAAAUGGCGAUCCUUUCUCUUCCCCGACUCUCUCAUUUUCUCUCACGGACGGAUCGCAGUUGAUGGAUCUUCGACGAUCGUCGACAUCGCCGGAGGAGCUCGUCGCCGGAGCUAGCCAGAGGUCGAACAAGGAGGUCGGAUCAUCCUGAUCUCCUCUUCUCAAUCAUUUCCCGAGCCCUUUUUCCUUGUGCAACCAUGCCCUAGCAAGAUCUUGAAGGUAUCUUCUUUCGGCAUUGACUCUUCUGGUGUUGAAGUUUCCCCUGAUCGGAUUGGACCUCUUCUUUGCUACUGAUUGAGGUCACAGGAUUAGAGAAGAAGAGCAGGGAGGUCUUGCUGGGGUAUUCGGUUGGUAGAAAGCAGCUCGAUCAGGGCUGUGAGGUAGAGGUACAGUGAUCUAUGGAUUUGAAAUUGUGUGCUGUGGGUUGCUCUUUGAUCCAGCAGCUCGCCUUGGUUUCGGCAGGACCUCCUUCCGACAAUAAUCUUUUUGGCUGAGCUUGAGGACUUUGGCACGAGAUGAGCAUCUCGACGUCGGAUUUGGACCGGAUUGAAUCUUUCUAU